rnacentral:rRNA from 1 species
CCGGCGAUGUCCGAAUGGGGAAACCCAGUGCAAUUCGUUGCACUAUCGUUAACUGAAUACAUAGGUUAACGAGGCGAACCGGGGGAACUGAAACAUCUAAGUACCCCGAGGAAAAGAAAUCAACCGAGAUUCCCCCAGUAGCGGCGAGCGAACGGGGAGCAGCCCAGAGUCUGAAUCAGCUUGUGUGUUAGUGGAACGGUCUGGAAAGUCCGACGGUACAGGGUGAUAGUCCCGUACACCAAAAUGCACAGGCUGUGAACUCGAAGAGUAGGGCGGGACACGUGGUAUCCUGUCUGAAUAUGGGGGGACCAUCCUCCAAGGCUAAAUACUCCUGACUGACCGAUAGUGAACCAGUACCGUGAGGGAAAGGCGAAAAGAACCCCGGCGAGGGGAGUGAAAAAGAACCUGAAACCGUGUACGUACAAGCAGUGGGAGCACCUUCGGGUGUGACUGCGUACCUUUUGUAUAAUGGGUCAGCGACUUAUAUUCUGUAGCAAGGUUAACCGUAUAGGGGAGCCGCAGGGAAACCGAGUCUUAACUGGGCGUUAAGUUGCAGGGUAUAGACCCGAAACCCGGUGAUCUAGCCAUGGGCAGGUUGAAGGUUGGGUAACACUAACUGGAGGACCGAACCGACUAAUGUUGAAAAAUUAGCGGAUGACUUGUGGCUGGGGGUGAAAGGCCAAUCAAACCGGGAGAUAGCUGGUUCUCCCCGAAAGCUAUUUAGGUAGCGCCUCGUGAAUUCAUCUUCGGGGGUAGAGCACUGUUUCGGCUAGGGGGUCAUCCCGACUUACCAACCCGAUGCAAACUACGAAUACCGAAGAAUGUUAUCACGGGAGACACACGGCGGGUGCUAACGUCCGUCGUGAAGAGGGAAACAACCCAGACCGCCAGCUAAGGUCCCAAAGUCAUGGUUAAGUGGGAAACGAUGUGGGAAGGCACAGACAGCCAGGAUGUUGGCUUAGAAGCAGCCAUCAUUUAAAGAAAGCGUAAUAGCUCACUGGUCGAGUCGGCCUGCGCGGAAGAUGUAACGGGGCUAAACCAUGCACCGAAGCUGCGGCAGCGACACUAUGUGUUGUUGGGUAGGGGAGCGUUCUGUAAGCCUGCGAAGGUGUGCUGUGAGGCAUGCUGGAGGUAUCAGAAGUGCGAAUGCUGACAUAAGUAACGAUAAAGCGGGUGAAAAGCCCGCUCGCCGGAAGACCAAGGGUUCCUGUCCAACGUUAAUCGGGGCAGGGUGAGUCGACCCCUAAGGCGAGGCCGAAAGGCGUAGUCGAUGGGAAACAGGUUAAUAUUCCUGUACUUGGUGUUACUGCGAAGGGGGGACGGAGAAGGCUAUGUUAGCCGGGCGACGGUUGUCCCGGUUUAAGCAUGUAGGCUGGUUAUCCAGGCAAAUCCGGAUAAUCAAGGCUGAGGUGUGAUGACGAGGCACUACGGUGCUGAAGUAACAAAUGCCCUGCUUCCAGGAAAAGCCUCUAAGCAUCAGGUAACAUCAAAUCGUACCCCAAACCGACACAGGUGGUCAGGUAGAGAAUACCAAGGCGCUUGAGAGAACUCGGGUGAAGGAACUAGGCAAAAUGGUGCCGUAACUUCGGGAGAAGGCACGCUGGUGUGUAGGUGAAGUCCCUGCGGAUGGAGCUGAGACCAGUCGAAGAUACCAGCUGGCUGCAACUGUUUAUUAAAAACACAGCACUGUGCAAACACGAAAGUGGACGUAUACGGUGUGACGCCUGCCCGGUGCCGGAAGGUUAAUUGAUGGGGUUAUCCGUAAGGAGAAGCUCUUGAUCGAAGCCCCGGUAAACGGCGGCCGUAACUAUAACGGUCCUAAGGUAGCGAAAUUCCUUGUCGGGUAAGUUCCGACCUGCACGAAUGGCGUAAUGAUGGCCAGGCUGUCUCCACCCGAGACUCAGUGAAAUUGAACUCGCUGUGAAGAUGCAGUGUACCCGCGGCAAGACGGAAAGACCCCGUGAACCUUUACUAUAGCUUGACACUGAACAUUGAGCCUUGAUGUGUAGGAUAGGUGGGAGGCUUUGAAGCGUGGACGCCAGUCUGCGUGGAGCCAACCUUGAAAUACCACCCUUUAAUGUUUGAUGUUCUAACGUUGGCCCCUGACCGGGGUUGCGGACAGUGUCUGGUGGGUAGUUUGACUGGGGCGGUCUCCUCCCAAAGCGUAACGGAGGAGCACGAAGGUUAGCUAAUCCUGGUCGGACAUCAGGAGGUUAGUGCAAUGGCAUAAGCUAGCUUGACUGCGAGCGUGACGGCGCGAGCAGGUGCGAAAGCAGGUCAUAGUGAUCCGGUGGUUCUGAAUGGAAGGGCCAUCGCUCAACGGAUAAAAGGUACUCCGGGGAUAACAGGCUGAUACCGCCCAAGAGUUCAUAUCGACGGCGGUGUUUGGCACCUCGAUGUCGGCUCAUCACAUCCUGGGGCUGAAGUAGGUCCCAAGGGUAUGGCUGUUCGCCAUUUAAAGUGGUACGCGAGCUGGGUUUAGAACGUCGUGAGACAGUUCGGUCCCUAUCUGCCGUGGGCGCUGGAGAAUUGAGGGGGGCUGCUCCUAGUACGAGAGGACCGGAGUGGACGCAUCACUGGUGUUCGGGUUGUCAUGCCAAUGGCACUGCCCGGUAGCUAAAUGCGGAAGAGAUAAGUGCUGAAAGCAUCUAAGCACGAAACUUGCCCCGAGAUGAGUUCUCCCUGAGACUUUAAGUCUCCUGAAGGAACGUU